rnacentral:rRNA from 1 species
GAUGACGUCAAAUCAUCAUGCCCCUUAUGCUUAGGGCUACACACGUGCUACAAUGGGUAGUACAGAGGGUUGCCAAGCCGUAAGGGGGAGCUAAUCCCUUAAAGCUACUCUCAGUUCGGAUUGUAGGCUGAAACUCGCCUACAUGAAGCUGGAGGUACUAGUAAUCGCAGAUCAGAAUGCUGCGGUGAAUGCGUUCCCGGGUCUUGUAC